ACUUCUCUCUUCUGCCUCCUAGUGAAAAAGGUGCCUGCUUCUCCUUCUGCCAUGAUUAUAAGUUUCCUGAGGCUUCCCCAGCCAUGCGUAACUGAGUGAGGACCUAGAAUUUUAAUGUCUAAUAUGCGGUGUGAAUUAAAGAAGCGGCCUUGCUAUGCUGACCUUUUCAAUAUUCUAAUCUUUGCUUUGCUGACCUCUCAGGCCUCUUCCUGGCAACAGUUAGGCUUUUGAGAGGAGAGAGAGCUGAGACUGUUGGCUCCUUCCCAUUUAUGAGAGAGCCACAUGACAUCAGCCCAUAGACUGUGGAGAGUAUUCCAGAUCUAUCACAUUCUGCGAUUCUGCGAUUCCCAGAAGGCUGGUCAUGAAAAAAUUCCCUCUUCAGUUUACAUAUAUGGCAGUGAUGCACAUUGUUCUUUUGGUUGUGAAAAAUUCGAAGAAGUAGAUGUGGUCCUGGUUGAUGGAUGAACAUUGAGGCCCUCAAGUGCAUAAAGGCACUUCUAGAUAUCUGUUGAGGCCUGGAAGGGGCAAAACAAUUCAGGAAGCAGUUGAAGAUAAAGGGGUUUACCAUGGAAGAGAAGAUCCAGGUGCCUUCAUGGAAAUGCUUGUGGUUGAAAAGAGAUGAAGAUGAGGGUCCCUGGAAAGAGGAAGAACCAGCCAGGAAAAUUAUACCAUUAGCAAGACUGGCAUCAGCAAGUAGUUCGCAGUGUUGGUUGUUCUUGGUUUCGCAGGAUUUUAUAGGAGAGUUUCUGUCAGGCCUUUGAGCCCAAGCUAAGCCAUCAUACCCCUGUGACCUACACGUUAUACAUCCAGAUGGCCUGAAGCAAUUGAAGAUCCACAAAAUAAGUGAAAAUAGCCUUAACGGAUGACAUUCCACCAUUGUGAUUUGUUUCCACCCCACCCUAACUGAUACAUAUAUUCUCCCCCACCCUUAAGAAGGUACUUCGGAAUGUUCUCUCCCGCUCUUAAGAAUGUGCUUUGUAUGCCUAUCCCAAACCUGUAAGAACUAAUGAUAAUCCCACCACCCUUUGCUGACUCUUUUUUUUGGACUCAGCCCAUCUGCACUCAGGUGAAAUAAACAGCCUUGUUACUC
rnacentral:lncRNA from 10 species